rfam:Populus trichocarpa isolate Nisqually-1 chromosome 5, whole genome shotgun sequence.
GGAGGCCUGUGAUGAUUUAAAAUUUGCCUACAUUGUCUGAUCAUCUAACUGAUGACAGAGACAUGAAUUCGUUCUGAGGCCUUC